rnacentral:lncRNA from 1 species
NUCUGAUUUGUUUCCGUUAGAGAACUGUUUAUAUUUUUAAUUUAGCCAUCACAAAUAUGUUCUUUCAAAAAUCAUAAUAGUGUUAAUAUAAGAGGGGUCAAAUUGUCAAAAACUAACCAGAAUAAAGUAUUUAACCUAUAGUUAACUAAAUUUUUCUAACGAAUUUUAACGAUAGGGACAUAUUUGAUGCGUUGGGAUAUAAACUAUUAUAAUACACAUCCAAUGAGUUAGCUUGUGAUCAUGCCGUAUAAAAUUUAGGGUAAAUUUCAAAUACCAUCCCCGUAGUUUCGCACCUUCUCAUUUUAGUAUCCUAUAGUUUAAAGUGUAGCAAGUUAGUGUCAUGUGAUUUUAUUUUUAUUUUUUCGUCAGCUUUUUUGUUUAUAUUUUAUUAAAUUAUAUACAAAAAACUUCAGAUACCCCCACCUACGUUUAUUGAAUAUUCACUUUAGUACCCUUUAGUUUUAACUUUGUCACUGAUUUAAUGAAAAAAAAUUAGUGGAAUCGAUAAUAAAAAAAUAAAAAUGAAAUCACAUGUCACUAAAUUGAUACACUUUAAACCAGAGUGUACUAAAGUGAGAAAGUGUGAAACCACAUGAGUGGUAUUUGAAGUUUGUCCUAAAUGCGAUGUUCAUUUAUAUACU